rnacentral:rRNA from 1 species
UGGGGAAUUUUGGACAAUGGGCGAAAGCCUGAUCCAGCAAUGCCGCGUGUGUGAAGAAGGCCUUCGGGUUGUAAAGCACUUUUGUCCGGAAAGAAAUCCUUGGCUCUAAUACAGUCGGGGGAUGACGGUACCGGAAGAAUAAGCACCGGCUAACUACGUGCCAGCAGCCGCGGUAAUACGUAGGGUGCAAGCGUUAAUCGGAAUUACUGGGCGUAAAGCGUGCGCAGGCGGUUUGCUAAGACCGAUGUGAAAUCCCCGGGCUCAACCUGGGAACUGCAUUGGUGACUGGCAGGCUAGAGUAUGGCAGAGGGGGGUAGAAUUCCACGUGUAGCAGUGAAAUGCGUAGAGAUGUGAAGGAAUACCGAUGGCGAAGGCAGCCCCCUGGGCCAAUACUGACGCUCAUGCACGAAAGCGUGGGGAGCAAACAGGAUUAGAUACCCUGGUAGUCCACGCCCUAAACGAUGUCAACUAGUUGUUGGGGAUUCAUUUCCUUAGUAACGUAGCUAACGCGUGAAGUUGACCGCCUGGGGAGUACGGUCGCAAGAUUAAAACUCAAAGGAAUUGACGGGGUCAUAGCUGUUUCCU